UCUCUUUCGUGCGGCUGAAUCGCCGCCUGUCCCUCUAAGAAGGUCUUCAUCGCCCGAAGGAGAUGAAGCCCUAGUUAAUAGGUUGGAGUCUCGUUCGUUAU
rnacentral:rRNA from 1 species